AAGUCGUAACAAGGUUUCCGUAGGUGAACCUGCGGAAGGAUCAUUAACACGUAUCCAACGUUAAAACAACCCCGUGAACUUUCAGCUUGCUCCUGUAGCCCGUGAAAGCAGCAAUCCCUGGUAAAUCAUUGUUGACCAGCUUUUGAGUCAGGGACCUCUGCAGAUUGUGAUAUUUUAUAGCUACGGUUGAGCGAUUGCAUCUAGUGACCUGGCAUCCCCAAGUAAUCAGUGUUUUGAAAGUGUCAUUGAUUGUGUAAGGAUGGCGCAGUUAUGAUCGCUGUGGCCGGCGACCGGGUCACCGGGCUCUGCUCCCGCUGUUACGUCAAAACCCCAAGUUCCCCUCUAGUGAAAGCUAUUGGGUUAUAACUAAACGACUGUUAACAAUGGAUAUCUCGAUUCUC
rnacentral:misc_RNA from 1 species